AUUGAACGCUGGCGGCAUGCCUUACACAUGCAAGUCGAACGGCAGCGGACCUUCGGGUGCCGGCGAGUGGCGAACGGGUGAGUAAAGUAUCGGAACGUACCUUUCAGUGGGGGAUAACGUAGCGAAAGUUACGCUAAUACCGCAUAUUCUCUGAGGAGGAAAGCAGGGGACCUUCGGGCCUUGCGCUGAUGGAGCGGCCGAUAUCAGAUUAGCUAGUUGGUGGGGUAAAGGCCUAUCAAGGCGACGAUCUGUAGCGGGUCUGAGAGGAGGAUCCGCCACACUGGGACUGAGGCACGGCCCAGACUCCGACGGGAGGCAGCAGUGGGGAAUUUUGGACAAGGGGCGAAAGCCUGAUCCAGCCAUGCCGCGUGAGUGAAGAAGGCCUUCGGGUUGUAAAGCUCUUUCGGCCGGGAAGAAAUCGUGUGGGCUAAUACCCUGCAUGGAUGACGGUACCGGAAUAAGAAGCACCGGCUAACUACGUGCCAGCCGCCGCCGUAACAC
rnacentral:rRNA from 1 species